rnacentral:rRNA from 1 species
GGGUGAGUAACGCGUGAACAAUCUGUCCCAGACAGGGGGAUAACACAUCGAAAGGUGUGCUAAUACCGCAUAAGACCACGGUGCCGCAUGGCACAGGGGUAAAAGAACGGAAUCGGUUUGGGGUGAGUUCGCGUCUGAUUAGCUAGUUGGUGAGGUAACGGCCCACCAAGGCGACGAUCAGUAGCCGAUCUGAGAGGAUGACCGGCCACAUUGGAACUGAGAGACGGUCCAAACUCCUACGGGAGGCAGCAGUGGGGAAUAUUGGGCAAUGGGCGCAAGCCUGACCCAGCAACGCCGCGUGAGGGAAGAAGGUUUUCGGAUUGUAAACCUCUGUCCUAAGGGAAGAAAGGAAUGACGGUACCUUAGGAGGAAGCCCCGGCUAACUACGCGCCAGCAGCCGCGGUAAUACGUAGGGGGCGAGCGUUGUCCGGAAUGACUGGGCGUAAAGGGCGUGUAGGCGGCCUGUUAAGUUAGGAGUGAAAGUCCAGCUUUCAAGGUUGGAAUUGCUUUUAAUACUGAUGGGCUUGAGUGCAGAAGAGGUAAGUGGAAUUCCCAGUGUAGCGGUGAAAUGCGUAGAGAUUGGGAGGAACACCAGUGGCGAAGGCGACUUACUGGGCUGUAACUGACGCUGAGGCGCGAAAGCGUGGGGAGCGAACAGGAUUAGAUACCCUGGUAGUCCACGCGGUAAACGAUGAAUGCUAGGUGUAGGGGGUAUCGACCCCUCCUGUGCCGGAGUAAACACAAUAAGCAUUCCGCCUGGGGAGUACGGCCGCAAGGUUGAAACUCAAAGGAAUUGACGGGGGCCCGCACAAGCAGCGGA